rnacentral:rRNA from 1 species
UACGUAGGGUGCAAGCGUUAAUCGGAAUUACUGGGCGUAAAGCGUGCGCAGGCGGUGAUGUAAGACAGUUGUGAAAUCCCCGGGCUCAACCUGGGAACUGCAUCUGUGACUGCAUCGCUGGAGUGCGGCAGAGGGGGAUGGAAUUCCGCGUGUAGCAGUGAAAUGCGUAGAUAUGCGGAGGAACACCGAUGGCGAAGGCAAUCCCCUGGGCCUGCACUGACGCUCAUGCACGAAAGCGUGGGAGCAACAGG